AGGAGACUCCGACUGCGGAAGGAGAGAAGUCCUGAGCGCGCAUGGUGCACGGUGACGAAGAAAGCAAAGAAGACAGGCGCUUUGGUUCUGCCCAGAGCUGCCAGAAUCCUUUCCCUUCGGCUUGCUAUCCAGAGGAGAAUGGAACUCAUGGAAUUGGCAAUUUAAAAUCAGCUGUUCCCCUUUGACUUCGGUGCGAGGACCGUGUAAGUCCCUCUGUGUCCAGAAUGGGUGGAGGGAACUCUCAGGGCCACUCUGGAACCCAGGAGCUCGACGUGGACGCCGGGCUCUGGGCCUGGGUGGCCCCUGACGCCUGCUCGUCCGCAUCCCGGCUUCCUCCCCUGUAAAUGGAGGGGACGCUCCUCCAGGCACCUGCACGGUCCUGUGUGGGAAGGCUCUUUAAAAGGAUAAGGACGCUCCCUCCAGGUGCCCUGCCCGGGCACUCGGCAGGACCGUGAAGUUCCAGGCCCCACCCAGACCUCCCGCCUCCGGAACUCUGAUUCAAGAAGCUGUGCGGGUGGUUCUGGGGUGUUCUCAGGUCUGGGAGACCUGGGAAGGUGAUAAAAUGUGAACGGCACUUAUUCCAAAAUACCCGGAUGACAGAACGGGAACACAAGCCACCUCCGCUUCCCUACAGGGCGACAGCCGGUGAAGCUUUCAAACGUCUUACGAAUACGCAGUGUUUUUUCAUUUCGUUUAAUGCAGUCAUGUUUAUCUUUUAAAAAGCCAGCCGCACGGCCAAACAGGCCUUCCUAUCUGAUGAUGUGUGCAGGACACGAAAGCCUCAUAAAUCAAUGAAGUCGCGCAGUAACCAACUUCCAGAGAUCUUUGCAGAUUACCUUUCAAAGCCGUCUCAUGCGGUUUUCCCAGGCAGGAGGGAGGGCUAACUUGCAAAAACAAAAAACUUAGAUUUAAGAAUUUGGCUUAUAGACUUAGAAUACUGCAAGUGAAUAUAUUUUUGAAGAUUUUAUUUAUUUUAUCUGAAAGGCAGAGUUACAGAGAGGCAGAGAGAGGGAGAGAAAGAAAGAGAGAGAGGGAGAGAGAUCUUCCAUCGCUGGUUCACUCCCCAAAUGGCCACAAUGGCCAGAGCCGGUUGAUCUGAAGCCAGGAGCUUCUUCUGGGUCUCCCACAUGGGUGGCAGGGGCCCAAGCACUUGGGCUGUUCUCUACUGCUUUCCCAGGACUCAGCGGAGAGCUGGAGCAGAAGUGGAGCAGCCCAACAAGUGAAUAUUGUUUGACAGUGUUGGAUCAGCCCUGACAAUUUGCAGUGUGUGCACAGGCGCUCACUAGCUCCUAGUCUAGUGGAAAAGCCCAGCCGUGGGGUUCAGACAGGGGACCAGGAAGAACUCCAGGCUGUCCAAGCAAAGCAGAAUGUUCUUGUGAGCUGCAGUGCUCUCGGACGCUCACCUCAGCCAGGUGUGGAGGCGUGAGUUCCAGGCACUGCAGGACCCUGAGGUAGGAAAGGCUGGACUGCACUCCGCACUGCCAAGCGCUAGGCACUGGGAGGCCCUGUCCAGGUCACCAGUGGCUUCCACAGUGCCAAACCCCACAGUCGGCCUUGCCUGAGACCUGAGGGUCUCUUCCGGCUCUGUGCCACCCUUCCUGGCCACGCCUCCAGGACCCUGCCCCUGACCACUCCUCCAAGUCCCUGCCCCUGCCCACCCUCCAGGACCCUCCCUGCCCAUGCCUCCAGGAUUCAAUCUCUCCGCUUCUCCCUCUCCCCACCUGGCUAUGGAACCCAGGUUAGUCCUCAGCUCUCUUCUCUCCCAAAGAGGUGUUGCCACACUUAGUGGAGAACAAUACAAAACUCAGUUGAAUUUGGGGUAAACAGCAUAUCAUGUUUUGUAGCAUUCAGUGUUUGCCAGAUAGCACAUGGCCCCAAAUAUUUACUUGGUUAACAGGUAAAUAUUUCAUGAAACAUUUAUGCUAAAACCACUUAACAUACCUUCAGCAAACAUGCCUAUGCUAAAUUACUAUUUAUCUGAAUUCAGAGUUAGCGGGGCUGUGCUGUGUUUCAAAUCUGCUGAUUCUAAAAUGAUAGCAACCAGUUUUGUGGCUUUACAUGCUAUCUGUAUGCUGCUUCCUGCAAGAAUUUGAUCUCUAGCCUAAAUCUCAUUCUGAAAUCCGGGCUCCUGCUGCCUACACCCCAUUGCCAUGUAGAUAAGUAAUGGGUGUCUCAAUUUCAACAUGUCCAAGUCAAGGUGAACCUUCAGCCUGAAUCUUGGCUACACUCCCAGGUCGUUCCACCCUGCAGCCUGACUCUGCGUUCCUCCUCGAUCCCUCUGUUCCCUCACGCCCCACAUCCGAUCCGGCAGCAAGUCCUUUGCUCCCACCUGGGUCGCACCAGUAGCACCACUUGCCUCGCUGCAUCGUGCAGCCACCUCUUGCUACUCAGCCUAACAACCAGGAGUCCUCACCCACCCGCAAAGCCCCCACAGUCCAGCACCACGUCCACCCUCUCCAACCUCAGCUGUCCUCCUGCUCUGUCUCAAGACCAUGCCUUCCCACAGCCCUGUGCUCCUGCUCUGUCUCAAGGCCAUGCCUUCCCACAGCCCGGUGCUCCUGCUGCAGAGCCUUGGUCCUAACCUGCCUGGCCUCCUUCCCCCAGUGCACGUGGCUCAGUUGUUUGCCCACCUGGGGAUCUCCCGCACCUCCCCAGGUCUCUGCUCAAGCAUCACCUUCUCUGUAAGGCCAGCACGGACCACCCGAACCACAUGCCAACCUACUCACCCCCAGCACUGCAGAAACUCCGUCCCGAGACUUCUUUUCAUCUUUCUGAACAUCUGUUUGAUUCUCCAAAGGACACCAGGCACCCUGAAGAGGACCUGUCUCACAGCAGGCAUGCAAAUUUGUUGGAUGGGUGGAUGGGUGGAUGGAUGGAUAAAUGGAUGGAUUUGU